UGAAUUGUGUUUUUAAUUUGCCUUUCUCUAUAUUGCUAUUACAAGUGAUGACAAUUGAGUCAAUACACUUGUCAGUGUCAUUGGCGUGGCAUCUUGAUAUUGCAGAUUGAAGUGUUUUAGUAUCACAUGAGAAAUUCAGUUGUGUUCGUUAAUUUAAGUGCUUCAUUGAUUCAAUCACUUGUUGGUCGCAUGACUCACAAGCAGUGGUAUCUUGUUUACCAAGACUGAGAUGAAACCUAACUGACAAACAUGACACCUUGCCAUUGGUGGAUGUGUUAUGCUUGCAGUCUUUAAUUUGACAUACUAGAUUUGUGAAAGAUUUUCCUGAAGCCUGGUCUUUAUCCUUUUGCAUAAUUUCAUCUGAUAGCCCAGGCCUUUUCCCCCUUGAUAGUAGAUGUAAAUUUAUUUAUAUUUAUCUUUCUUUCUUUGAUUUUUUUUGCUUUUAAUUUUCUAAACUUUGUGCACAUGAUACAGGGUGUUGAUGUUCAGCUUGGA
rnacentral:misc_RNA from 1 species